rnacentral:tRNA from 1 species
GCCCUAGUGGUGAAAUGGUAUACACAACUGAAUUAGAAUCAGUGGAGAAGCAAGGCUCGUGAGGGUUCGAUUCCCUCCUAGGGCA